rnacentral:lncRNA from 1 species
CUGGUUCUUUGUGUGCCAGGUACUUUUAAUGUAUUCUAGAACAUUUUAUUAUUAUGUUAUAAGACUCUUGAGUCUUGUUUGAAUCCUGUGGAGAAUGUUAGUAUUUUUGUUUUAGCAGGCAAUUUACCAAUUUCAGUUCAGGCUUAAAGUUCCAACCAGCCUUUUAUGAGUGUUGUUUUAAUGCCGGUUUUGUUGUUAAUGCCUUUGUGGUGCUAUUCAGAUCUGCCCCAUAUGUGUGCCACCUAGUGGCCCUUCUGGGACUUCGGUGGUGGUCUAUUCCUCAGUUCAGUUCUCAGCCUCUUUGGAGUGAUGUUUAGGAUGAAAUCCAUGCAUAGGCAGCUUGGGAAUGAGCCAGGAAAUCAGAAACAACUUUAUGGAGCUGCUUUUCUGAGCUCCUCUCCCCAAUUUUUAGUUUCCCAUGGCUUCCCUUUUUAGUCUUCUAGCCAGAAAGAUGGGUUUUUAUUUACUGUGCUCUGCAAUGUGCUUUCUCUGAUGGCACCCAUGUCCAGAGCCAAGCCAGGUGUAUUUACAUCUCCAUUGGAGAGGAGAUUUCCCCUGCCUCAGAGGUUUUAGUAACUUUGGGCUUUCCACUGCAACCCUGUCACUACCAGAGAUCCUUUGCUUUCUCCCCAAGCCUGAACUAGAGGAUUUUUGAAGUUCUCUCUGUGCCAAUGCCUGUUUCCAAGUUUUCCCUCCAAGUCAAGGAAUCAAAGGGAGAAAAAUGUUAAACUUACCACUGGUUAGGUGGUACUUCUUUUUCUAUAUUGAGGCUUCCACUUAUUUAGCUCUUAUGUAAUUUUUCUCAGCAAUAUUUUGUAUUUUUCUAUGUAUAGGUCUUUACAUAUUUUGUUAAAUUUUUUACUGAGUACUUUAUGUUUUUUGAUAUUAUUGUAAAUUAUAUUUUAAAAUUCAUUUUCCAUACAGAACUAGAAAUGCAAUUGAUUUUUGUGUAUUUACCUUAUAGCUUGUGACCUUGCUAAAUUAAUUUAUUAGUGCUGGUAGCUUUUUUGUAGAUUGCUUAGGGUUGUCCUAUAGAUGAUUAUGUGAUCUACGAAUAAAGACAGUUUUACUUCUUCUGUUCUAAUCUGUAUGCUUUAUAUUUUAUUUUCUUGCCUUGUUGCAUUGGCUAGUAUCACCAGUAAAAUGUUGAAUGAAAGUGGUGAGAAUGCCUUGUUUCUAAUCUUAAGAGGAAAGCAUGCAGUUUUGUUAUGUUAUGUGUGAUGUUAGAGAUAGAUUUUUUUAUAGGUACCCUUUAUUACACUACGGAAGUUUUUUUCUAUUUCUAAUUUGUUGGGAGUAUUUAUUGUUAAUGGAUAUUGAAUUUCAUCAUUUCUUCUGCAUUUGUUGAAUAAUAACGUUUUUCUCCUUUUUGUUGUUACUGUGGUGAAUUGCACUGAUUGAUUUCCAACUUUUAAACCAACCUUAUAUCUUAGGAUAAUCCCACUUGAUCAUGAUGUAGUAUUAUUUUUCUAAGUUGCUGUGUUUUUGGUAAAUAUUUUUACUUCUGUGAUCAUAAGGGAUGUUCUUUAGUUUUCUUGCAUUGUCUUUAUUUGGUUUUAGUAUCAGGAUAAUGCUGACCUCAUUAAAUAAGAUAGUAAGUGUUCCUCCUUUGUUUACUGAAAGAAUUUAGGUAGUACUAGCAUCAUU